UAGGACAGAAGGCUUUCCUGAAUGGCAGUUCUGCGCGGCCCAGCGGCCAGCUUGGUACCGCGAACAGUGUUGCAAUGUGAAGAGACAUGCGCCUUCUAUUUUACUGUAUAGAAUAAUCCCGGUUCUCUGGGCCAGUAGAUCCACCAAGACCUAGUCCUAGCUUAAGGCAGUGAGCUGACCUUAAAAGAGCAGACAUGCUGCAAGCACUUCUAAACAUAGACAGCAUGCAUGUGUGUCUACAAUUGGAUAUCAGCUCUGACAAGUAGCUCUUGCCCAGGCACUGGGUAGAUUUCCUCAAUGGGGAAGCUGCAGCAUGCAUUGUGCUGUUUUUGCAGCCAAGUUGCAAAUCGGCCAUGCAAAGGAAGCUUGCAGAGAUCACUUGAAUACGCCAUUAAAAAUGCAUAUAACAUCUGCGCAAUGCCCCCUUGGCAUUCUCCUUCAUGUCAGCUUUCGUGCGAUGUGCGCCGUGCAUGGUAAGAUUGAGCCUGCAUAGCACUGCAAGGGAAGCCAUCCUUCACCACUGGUAGAAAUCUGCAGACCCUGUUGGGCUGAUGACAUGCCCCGGAACCGAUUGUUGCCAAAAAGCUCCAGCAGCACACAACUGCAUAACUUCUACAGAAACCUUCCAACACAGUCCGAACACGGUUGAAUUCAGGACAGGAGCAGCUUGUGCCUCGCAAGGUAGAACAGGUAAGGAAAUGCCCAGGACUAAAAGCGGUGGUAGCUUAACAUUCAAACAAAUCAGUCACGUUGUGGGUUCUCACCCACCUUCUCUCGUGCCUUUUAGAGAUACGUAACCGCUUUUCACAACCUUCGCGGGUUCCCAGCUGUUGCAGCGACGGUGUAUCACGCAUUUUCUUGAUAACAUCAGACAGUUCUACACAAGGGCCCUGCGCUAUGUGCACUGUUGCUCUUUCUGCAGAGAGUUGAGAUUGCUUGAUUGUGCUGCUCUAAAAACAAUUGUGGAGACAUUCAGCGAGGGGCUGAAGCUAUUAUUGCUGUAUUCGAAGACUGUAACAAAGUACAUCAAGAUACAUGGACAAGUGAUGGUCUGCCGUUGCUGCCAGGCUCCCGCACGGCCACAAUCCUUCAGAAAGUGCGUGUACGCAUCCUGUAGAGCAAUUGCACAGCAUACAUCUGCAGAUAUCGUGCAUUAAAACCGAAAAACUUGCUGGUCUAUUUCUGGCCUAUGUCCUGGCCGAGGAAUGGCCGACAAAGGAAAAUAUGGGCAAUUCCCGGCCACACUUCGGCCAAAUAGGCAUUGGCCGAAGUCUGGCCGAAAUAGGGGGUUUCGGCUGUUCCUCGCCCGUCCAAUAUAUGCCCUAUCAUUCGUAGCCAGUUGGCAGCUCACCGGUUUUGCAAAUGGUAACAGCACUCAUAAACCCUCCAGGAUCCCACAUCAUCAGGAAGGGACACGGAACAAAAAUAUCGGCUCGGCUC
rnacentral:lncRNA from 1 species